CCUUACUAUUCAAAAUAAAUUCACUUACAGGAUUUCAAAGGUAGCUUAAGGUUUAAGGAAUCGUAAUCACCAGGAUGUACCCUUUCGACGUGAGCAAGUCCUCUGUAUCUUUGAACUAUGGGUACUGCCAGGAUCUCACACACCACACACCCCAUCUCCCUUCCUCAAGAGAGGACAGGUACCACUCCUAGUCACCGGAAAGACUCCGGCCUGAGCAAGCUCGAACCGCCGCCCUGUCAGACCAUGAAGCCUGGCAGCGCAGCGCUCUAACCAGUUGCGCCAUCCAUGUGGGGGACCCCCUAGAGAGGAGUUCUCCCAAGUUGAGGAGGCCCUGCUCGACCUUCUUUCUCCCACAGGGUAUGCAAGUCUGCCCAUUCCUGACAGCGAGGGUGGUUCUUUGAAUGUAGCUGGUGCUACACAGUGCCUUCCCUCCCAGGCUCUGGGUCCUGCUCAAGAAGGUACCCAUCCCUCCACAAGUGGUACACCGCAGGGAGAGUUUACUGUCAUGGUGAUUGAAGGCGAGG